rnacentral:rRNA from 1 species
AUGGAGCGGCUGCAGAGAAUCUUCAGCGGCGCCACCGGGAUGGGGCAGCCGGGGAGCGACUCGCCGCUGCUCGACUCCUCCGAGCAGGUCUACAUCUCCUCCCUCGCUCUCCUCAAGAUGCUCAAGCACGGGAGGGCCGGCGUGCCCAUGGAGGUGAUGGGCCUGAUGCUGGGCGAGUUCGUCGACGACUACACGGUCAGGGUGGUGGAUGUCUUCGCCAUGCCGCAGAGCGGGACCGGGGUCAGCGUCGAGGCCGUCGACCACGUCUUCCAGACCAACAUGCUCGACAUGCUCAAGCAGACCGGGAGACCUGAAAUGGUGGUAGGCUGGUACCACUCGCAUCCUGGAUUUGGUUGCUGGCUUUCAGGAGUUGACAUCAAUACUCAGCAGAGUUUUGAAGCUUUAAACCCCAGGGCAGUUGCUGUUGUGAUAGAUCCCAUCCAGAGUGUCAAGGGGAAGGUCGUCAUUGAUGCAUUCCGUCUCAUUAACCCUCAGACCAUGAUGCUUGGCCAGGAGCCAAGGCAGACAACAUCCAAUGUUGGGCACCUAAACAAACCAUCUAUUCAGGCACUUAUUCACGGGCUGAACAGGCACUACUACUCCAUUGCAAUCAAUUACCGGAAAAAUGAGCUUGAGGAGAAGAUGCUGCUGAACUUACACAAAAAGAAAUGGACUGAUGGGUUGAUUUUAAAGAAAUUCGACACCCACUCAAAGACCAACGAGGAGACUGUUCAGGAAAUGCUGAGUCUGGCCAUCAAAUACAACAAGGCAGUGCAAGAGGAGGAUGAGCUGCCGCCUGAGAAACUAGCGAUAGCAAAUGUCGGGCGGCAGGAUGCAAAGAAGCACUUGGAGGAGCAUGUCUCGAAUUUGAUGUCAUCGAACAUAGUACAGACCCUAGGGACCAUGCUCGACACAGUGGUCUUUUAG